rnacentral:rRNA from 1 species
UACCCGCUGAACUUAAGCAUCUAAGUAAGCGGAGGAAAAGAAACUAACAAGGAUUCCCUUAGUAGCGGCGAGCGAAGCGGGAAGAGCCCAGCGCCGAAUCCCCCCGGCCGCCGUGCCGCGCGUGGGAAAUGUGGCGUAUGGGACGUCGUCCGACGGUUGGUGACGCGCUCGCGAUUCCUCCGGAGUGCCGACUGCCCAGAGCGGGUGACAGGCCUCUGCGGGUGCGUCUGCCGAUAGUCUGCGGCGUCUCGGGAGUAGGGUUGCUUGAGAAUGCAGCCUGAAGCGGGUGGUAAGCUCCAUCCAAGGCUAAAUACUGACCACGAGUGCGAUAGUUGACAAGUACCGUGAGGGAACGUUGAAACAGAACUUUGAAGAGAGAGUUCAAGAGGACGUGAAACCGCUCAGAGGUAAACGGGUGGAACCUUCGGAAAGACUCGCUUCUUCCACCUCGCACGGCAUCCCGCGAGGCUGAAUUGUCUGUGCCUGUUUGUACUGCCAACUCCUUUGCCUGCCUCCGUUCCUCGUGCUCCUUUCGGGGUGGUGCGAUCAGUUCGGUGACGGGAGGUGGUCAGACGGUCGGACUUCGCCUUGUGGUCUCUGCCCGGAGCGGAUUGAGGCAAGGAGGCUUGCGUCACAGCGACCUUCCCCGGGCCGGCCUGGUUCUUCGGAGCAUUGGUCGGCUCGUUCAGGCACGAGCGUGCGUCGACUGGUGGCGACGAUGGUGGAGUAAGGUCUCCUCACUUUCGGGUGGGGAUGUGCCCCUUCCCUCGUCCUCUGGUUCGGCGGAUACACGAUCUCGUCGGGAAGGACGCUCGGAUCUAUGUCGGAUAGAGAUUUCCCUACGUCCCUUACGGGAGCCGAGCCAAGGCGCCCGGCAGUUGGCCGUUUCGCUCGUUUCAUCACGGCGGGUUGUGACUAAGAGAGCUUUGGACACUGGUGCGGCUUUUGCCUUGCGCCGUGUCUCUUGCGACCUUUGUGCGACUUCGGUCUUUCUGUCGGCCUAACCGAUCCUUGGCAGGCCAGCGAUGUCGAGGCAAACCUUCUCGAAGGCUAACUGUAGACUCGUUGGCAGCGCGGCGGGAGCGUGCUCUUCCCUAAAAGAACCUGUGACGAUACGAGGGUCACCCACCCGACCCGUCUUGAAACACGGACCAAGAAGUCUAGCUUGCGUGCGAGUCAAUGGGACCUUACGAAUCCUAAAGGCGAAGCGAAAGCGGCGGAUCGGUAACCUGGAUUCCGUAGCUAAUCGGCGUUCGCAUAUGGGCUGUGAGGCGGGUUGAAUGUGGGGUUUUCGUAGCGAGCUCUUGGCUGCGUUGCUCCGUCCCGUCUUCGGUUCGCGUUCGCCGCGGAGUGGCUGAGUUUGCCUUCACGGGCCGAAUUCGCUAUUACUCCGUCGGCUUGUCAGAGAAUCUGUGGUACUAUUCCCGCAUGGGCGAGAUCUCGGCG